UCGAGGAUCUUCGGCAAUGGGCGCAAGCCUGACCGAGCGACGCCGCGUGUGCGAUGAAGGCCUUCGGGUUGUAAAGCACUGUCGAGGGGGAGGAAAGCCCGCAAGGGCCUGACCUAUCCCUGGAGGAAGCACGGGCUAAGUUCGUGCCAGCAGCCGCGGUAAGACGAACCGUGCGAACGUUGUUCGGAUUCACUGGGCUUAAAGGGCGCGUAGGCGGGCUCGCAAGUCAGGGGUGAAAUCCUCCGGCUCAACCGGAGAACAGCCUUUGAUACUGCGAGCCUCGAGGAAGGUAGGGGCAUGUGGAACUUCCGGUGGAGCGGUGAAAUGCGUAGAUAUCGGAAGGAACGCCGGUGGCGAAAGCGACGUGCUGGACCUUUUCUGACGCUGAGGCGCGAAAGCCAGGGGAGCAAACGG
rnacentral:rRNA from 1 species